UACGGGGGGGGCAAGCGUUGUUCGGAAUUACUGGGCGUAAAGGGCUCGUAGGUGGCCAACUAAGUCAGACGUGAAAUCCCUCGGCUUAACCGGGGAACUGCGUCUGAUACUGGAUGGCUUGAGGUUGGGAGAGGGAUGCGGAAUUCCAGGUGUAGCGGUGAAAUGCGUAGAUAUCUGGAGGAACAUCAGUGGCGAAGGCGGCUACCUGGCCCAAUACUGACACUCAGGUGCGACAGCGUGGGGAGCAAACAGG
rnacentral:rRNA from 1 species